rnacentral:tRNA from 13 species
AGUGGUAAGGCAACGGGUUUUGGCCCCGUCAUUCAGAGGUUCGAAUCCUUUCGC